AAGUAAGAAGCGAUUUAUUGCAUUUAGUUUCGACCUAAUUUUAGGUUUUAAAACCCUUACUUU
rnacentral:tRNA from 1 species